CCUUUGAUAGCUCAGUUGGUAGAGCAGAGGACUGUAGCUGCUAAUUGUAGCAAUCCUUAGGUCGCUGGUUCAAAUCCGGCUCUAAGGA
rnacentral:tRNA from 1 species